GAUUUCCUGUGGCAAGUUAAGUAUUACCCCUCAUGUUGUGUUUGAUUUUUUUUCUCAAAUGGUACCUAGUGUUCUUAUGUAUACAAGUAUAUGCUAUUGUAAAGCAAAAAUCCUCACAUACUCGGUGUAGCACCAAAAAAUGUAAUGGUACAUGCAUUUAUGGAUUAUUACUUUGUUUUGUUUUUUUAAUGGACAACACCACGGGACAGAGCCAGCCUGCUGCCAUAGACGAGACCAAGGGAGAGGGCCAGCCUGCUGCCAUAGACGAGACCAAGGGAGAGGGCCAGCCUGCUGCCAUAGGACACAGCGAGGGGGACCGAGCCAGCCUGAUGCCGUAGACGAGACCAAGGGAGAGGGCCAGCCUGAAGCCAUAGACGAGACCAAGGGGGACCGAGCCAGCCUGAUGCCAUAGACGACAGCGAGGGGGACCGAGCCAGCCUGCGGCGAUCUAUGUUACGAGCCAGCCUGCUGCCAUUGGACACAGCGAGAGGGACCGAGCCAGCCUGAUGCCAUAGACGACAGCGAGAGGGACCGAGCCAGCCUGAUGCCAUAGACGACAGCGAGAGGGACCGAGCCAGCCUGAUGCCAUAGACGACAGCGAGAGGGACCGAGCCAGCCUGAUGCCAUAGACGAGACCAAGGGAGAGGGUCAGCCUGAUGCCAUAGACGAGGGGGACCGAGCCAGCCUGCGGCGAUCUAUGUUACGCUGAAUAUGUACACAGCACUCCAGUGGACACGCCAUCCAGGAACUGGGCCAACAUUGAUGCUGCCAUAGGCGACACCUGCAGUCAAUGACUAUCUUCACAACAUUACAAUUAUGAAACUCCAAAUAAAUAAUGAAAUGUAACAGCACACAACUUUCUGGUUCUUAAAUGUUUUGCAAUAUUGGUUCACACAUUAAUAACAUAAACUGUGGGGGGAGAAAAGCCAGAAAAAAAUGUUAAGAUUUGAAGUAAUGCAUUUGUUUGGAAGCUUGGGGAGGAAUGUUGCUUUAGAAAGAGAAGGGUUUUUAAAAAUGUAUAUGUAUGUAUUCUGAAUCUUGUCGAAAACGGGGGGGGGGGAACAACAACGAUGGUCAUGGCUGCUUGUCUGCAAAAAGCUUAGGGGGGUCACUGGACACUGGUUUAGAUUAUGUGAUUGAAGUAAUGCAUUUCUUAGAAACUUGGGGAACAAUGUUCACUUCAUGAUUUUGCAAAUUAAAAAAGCACAACAUAA